rnacentral:rRNA from 1 species
UACGGAGGGUCCAAGCGUUAUCCGGAAUCAUUGGGUUUAAAGGGUCCGUAGGCGGUUUGUAAGUCAGUGGUGAAAGCCAUCGCUCAACGGUGGAACGGCCAUUGAUACUGCAAACUUGAAUUAUUGGGAAGUAACUAGAAUAUGUAGUGUAGCGAUGAAUGCUUAGAUAUUACAUGGAAUACCAAUUGCGAAGGCAGGUUACUAUCAAUAUA